GAUGAACGCUGGCGGCGUGCCUAAUACAUGCAAGUCGAGCGAACAGACGAGGAGCUUGCUCCUCUGACGUUAGCGGCGGACGGGUGAGUAACACGUGGAUAACCUACCUAUAAGACUGGGAUAACUUCGGGAAACCGGAGCUAAUACCGGAUAAUAUAUUGAACCGCAUGGUUCAAUAGUGAAAGACGGUUUUGCUGUCACUUAUAGAUGGAUCCGCGCCGCAUUAGCUAGUUGGUAAGGUAACGGCUUACCAAGGCAACGAUGCGUAGCCGACCUGAGAGGGUGAUCGGCCACACUGGAACUGUGACACGGUCCAGACUCCUACGGGAGGCAGCAGUAGGGAAUCUUCCGCAAUGGGCGAAAGCUUGACGGAGCAACGCCGCGUGAGUGAUGAAGGUCUUCGGAUCGUAAAACUCUGUUAUUAGGGAAGAACAAAUGUGUAAGUAACUAUGCACGUCUUGACGGUACCUAAUCAGAAAGCCACGGCUAACUACGUG
rnacentral:rRNA from 1 species